rnacentral:rRNA from 1 species
GAGUUUGAUCGUGGCUCAGGAUGAACGCUAGCGGGAGGCCUAACACAUGCAAGCCGAGCGGUAUUGUUUCUUCGGAAAUGAGAGAGCGGCGUACGGGUGCGGAACACGUGUGCAACCUGCCUUUAUCUGGGGGAUAGCCUUUCGAAAGGAAGAUUAAUACUCCAUAAUAUAUUGAACGGCAUCGUUUAAUAUUGAAAGCUCCGGCGGAUAGAGAUGGGCACGCGCAAGAUUAGCUAGUUGGUGAGGUAACGGCUCACCAAGGCGAUGAUCUUUAGGGGGCCUGAGAGGGUGAUCCCCACACUGGUACUGAGACACGGACCAGACUCCUACGGGAGGCAGCAGUGAGGAAUAUUGGUCAAUGGGUGCAAGCCUGAACCAGCCAUCCCGCGUGAAGGACGACUGCCCUAUGGGUUGUAAACUUCUUUUGUAUAGGGAUAAACCUACCCUCGUGAGGGUAGCUGAAGGUACUAUACGAUAAGCACCGGCUAACUCCGUGACAGCCGCCGCGGU